UUAAUUAUUUGCAGUAAGAAUUUGAACUACUGGAGGUCUUAGAACUCUAUAGGCAAAUACAUGACUGUAAAUAAGGAAGUUUGUUGGAAAGAAAGUGGUGAUGUCAGUGUUUUAGAGUAAAGAUACACACACUUCUGACUUAGAGAAUCUGGAAAGUUUAUGAGCAACACAUUGGAACAUAUAAAAAGAGUAAUUAUGGAAGAUAAUCCCAGAGUACAUGACUUAAAUCGACAAGUCGAUGAUGUAAAGGUUGUGAUGAAGGACAAUAUAGGGAAAGUUUUGGAAAGAGGGGAUAAGAUAGAGGAUUUACAAGGCAGGGCAGAAGGCCUAGAGCAGACUGCACAAAACUUUCAGAGGACUACUAAUAAGAUAAAGAGGAAAGAAUUAUGGCGGAACCGCAAGAUGACAAUAAUAUUAGCUGGUGUCAUUAUAGUGAUUGUCCUUGUCAUAAUUCUGAUUGUCCUAGGAGCAAGUGGAGUAUUUUCUGGUGAAAACUGAGAAUGUACAGAAGUAUGAAAUCGACUUGAUACACCAGGAUCAUGUCGCAUCUUACUUUGGUUUAGUAAGAGGUUUCAAGAGGAUUUUUAAAAAUAGACAAUACUAAGUAUUUACAUCCGAUUUCUGUAAUAUUCAGAGAGUUACAUUAUAGGUACAAUAAACAUCUAUCAUGAGAUGUAAAUUUUUUUUAAAUGUAUCAAAAGGUUUAUUACUUCUUUAGGAGCAAUUGAUAAAGCAUUGAUUAUUUAUUAUAGAUGUAUCUUAGAUGAUCAGAGCGAAAUGGUAAAAGAUUAUAAAGACGUCAGUUUUGACGUUUAAAACAGGAGUUUUAAGACACACUGUAAAAGAUCUUCGUGCUUGCAUUCAAAAUUAUUAUAAAGUAACCAACUGAACACUUACCCAGAUAUGACAGAUCAAGCAUCCCAUGACAACUAAUAAAUGUGAUUUUACUGUAAACUCCAAUUCUUGUAUCCAUUUAAUGUUUGUUGAAA